rnacentral:lncRNA from 1 species
ACUAAUCAUUCACGUGAUAGGUAUAUUUAUAUAUUCAUAUAUAUUGUAAUAAUUUAGUGACCUCUGUAACAUGUUUUUAAAUUCAUUUUUUUUUUUUUUUUAAAGUUUAAAAAUUAAAAAAAAAAAAUAUAUACUUUAAAAUAAAAUACUUUUUUAUAAGAAAAAUAUUAUUUUGUAAGAGAACAUAGCAUUUCGAUGUUUUUUUUAACAUAUAACAAAAUGCAUACUGCUUAAUUUCUAAAUAUAAACAAUACAUAAAUAUUUAUACAUGUGCAUUAUAUACGGAUUUAUUUAUUCAUUUAUUUAUAUUACUUAUUUAUCUACGAAUUUUAUAUAUAUGUAUAUAUUCACAUUUCCUGCUGAAGUUUAUUUUAAUAGUAUUACUUUAAUACUUUUGUUCUACACAUUAAAUUAAAUAAUUACGUAAUUCUAUUUUGCAGGUUUUAUAUGAUUUUUUUUUUUUUUUAACAUUUAUUAUUUAGGUAAACAUUUUUUUAUAAGAAAAAAUUAGUUUUUUUUUUUUUUUUUUAUAAUAUAUAUAUGUAUAUAUAUAUAUAUAUAUAAUAGGCGUGCAAACCAUAAAUUCCAUCUUCUCAAAUCAAACAUAAGAGUAACGUAUUUUUUUUAAAAGUACUAGUUUUGUAUAAUUAAAGUAUUAUGUAAUUUUUUUUGUAAUGUUUUGUAUUUAUAUAUAUAUAUAUAUAUAUAUAUAUAUAUAAACUAAAUAGCACACAUAAUAAGCCGAGCACAUAUGUAAAUCCCUAUACCUAAAAUGUUUUUUUUUUAAAUGCAUUUAUUGGCAAUAAUAAUAUAUAAAUAUAUUUAAAUAUACCGUCGAAGUUAAAACAAUAUAAGAUUGUUUCCUUGGUUUUCAAAAUCAUGACUUAAUAUAAAAUGAUAAUUAAUGCUAAUUCGGUUCAAUUUUUGGAGAACAAAGACAGUGAAUUUCAAAAAAAUGAGAACGAUGGUACAAAUGAAAAAAAUGUGAGGAUAUAUGCAGAUGGCAUAUAUGACCUAUUACAUUUAGGUCAUAUGAAACAACUUCAACAAGCGAAACACUUAGAAAAAAAAAGUUACAUUAAUUGUUGGGGUUUGUAGUGAUAUAGAUACUAGAAAAUUCAAAGGACAGAUAGUACAAACAUUAGAAGAAAGAACUGAAACGUUAAAACAUAUUAGAUGGGUUGAUGAAAUCAUUUCACCUUGUCCAUGGGUAAUAACACCAGAAUUUGUUGAAAAAAUAUAACAUAGAUUAUGUAGCUCAUGAUGAUAUACCAUAUGCUAGUAAUCAAAAAAAUUCUAAUAAAAAAAAAAAAAAAAUAAUAAAAAUAAUUCA